rnacentral:lncRNA from 1 species
ACAAUAACAUCCACAACAACAAUUUUAGUACCCUGUGUAAUUCACGAACACAUAAGCAUAUCUCAAACCCUAGAAUGAACAACUUCUAAUCCACAAAAUCUGAUCAAGAUAAUUCCUUCGAUUACAAUUCUUCUCCACUGAACUUACAACCUUGCGAUAAACAGUGACUGGAAACUUCCAUACGUCCUCAAUCUUUCAGAACAAUUGAUAAACAAUGAUCCAUAAAUAACUUCGUAAAUCAAACAUUAAUUCGUUAAAUUGAUUCUCUUCACUAGAAUCAACACUAACACAAAAGAAACAAGAAAACUAAAAAGAAGAGAUAGCACCAAGCUUAUCCCCGGCUUAGUACUAUCGUAGUCUGGGCCUUGGCUCAUGACUAUCACAGUCUGGCAUUUUCUUCCCCUCUCCCAUCCUCCUUAUACUACCCUGAGAUACCAACUCCUAUACUACAAAUGAUAACUACUUUUCUUGACUAUUCAUCCAUUCUACCUACUGAAUCAUCUUUUCAGUAGUUAUCUAUCCCUAUUUAUACUAUACACUAGGUAUCUAUAUUUUGAAAAUAACUAUUUAUUCUACAUAGCCCCACUCCU